rnacentral:rRNA from 1 species
UACGUAGGGUGCGAGCGUUGUCCGGAAUUAUUGGGCGUAAAGAGCUCGUAGGCGGUGUGUCACGUCGAUCGUGAAAACUUACAGCUUAACUGUGAGCGUGCGGGCGAUACGGGCAGACUGGAGUACUGCAGGGGAGACUGGAAUUCCUGGUGUAGCGGUGGAAUGCGCAGAUAUCAGGAGGAACACCGGUGGCGAAGGCGGGUCUCUGGGCAGUAACUGACGCUGAGGAGCGAAAGCGUGGGGAGCGAACAGG